AUUUAUAUAAUAUAAAAAUUAUAUCUAACUUCCAAUUAGAAAAUCUUAAUCAAGUAUAAAUA
rnacentral:tRNA from 1 species